rfam:Ixodes scapularis strain Wikel colony gcontig_1108379807988, whole genome shotgun sequence.
CCUUGGUUAGUUUGGUUGGUAGAGCGCUCCACCUGUAAUGGAGAGGUCCCGGGUUCGAUACCCGGACCAGGCC